rnacentral:precursor_RNA from 18 species
GGGGAGGACGGGGAGCAGGGGUUCCGCCGCUGAUUGUCCAAACGCAAUUCUUGUGCGAGUCUGCAGCCAACCGAGAAUUGUGGCUGGACAUCUGUGGCUGAGCUCCCGGCGCAACCGGGGAGAUC